rnacentral:lncRNA from 1 species
ACAAAAUGCUAGCUACCAUUUUCAACCUUUUCUAGCACUUUAACUUAACAACAUUCCUCAAACAUGAACAGUCUCUUUCAUUUCUUUUUCUUCUUCUUUCUCCUCUUCACUUCUCAAAUUGUAUUACUUCACGCCAUCAGCCGGCCACCGCCGGCAGGAUUUUCCGGUCCGUCAACGGCGAGAAAACAUCAAGUUUUUCAACCUCAGGCGAGUGCUCCGUUUGCUAGAGACUUAGAAUCUGAUAAGAGGAGAGUUCCCACUGGACCAAAUCCUCUACACAACAAGAAAAGAAAGGUUUAAAUUCUGCAUUUAGAGCUCCUCUUGUUAUUCGUCAAAGGUAUAGUAAUUUAAUUUUCAUUCAUUAGUUUGUCUUUUGGUUGUAGAGUUUUCCUCUGUAUUAUAUUGGCGAUUCAAUAUUCGUAUUCACCAAUUUCAAUUUUGUACAAAUUAUGGUAUAGAUAGCUUAGUUUAAUUACACAUGUACUUUUUUUUAAUUCCAUAACUUUUAAUUUUUUUGCAGUUAGGUUAUUUUAGGUUUUUAGCCUUUCCUAGCUGGGUGAUUAUGCUUAUGUAGAUUUUGCGAGAAAGGAAUAUGUGGUGUUUUGUUACCAUUAAUAAUUUAGUCCUGCAAAAAAUUGUUUAAGUUGAUAAUUCUAUCAUUACAUAUAUUUUUUUUCCUUUUCUUUUCUUGUACUAGUAUGUAAUUACUCCUUUGUAAGAAUGGUGCUUUUAAACCAAGUUAGCUAGCCUCGGAAUUGAAUGAACAAUAAUAAUUAAUAAGAGAAAAUAAAAUAACAAUGGACUCUUUCUCUCUCUCGUAAAUACUUAUGAAGAUAUUAAUCAAAUAAUAUGUUCAUAGUAAUUCUUUCACUUCUAAAUGCGUUUGCUAUUGCUCAUAGGAGUUUUUGACCAAAAUUAUCUCUUAUUUUUUAAGGGUAAAUUUAACUUUGUCCUUCAAAUAUGACAUUGAGCGCGAAUUGUCCUCUAGGUUAACAAAAGUUAAGCGCCAGUAGUCCAAGUAACAAAUAACAUGGCAUUCGUUAGAAAACUAGCAGAGCUAUUACUCAACUACACAUGAAACAUUUUUUUUUUAAAUUUAAAUCCAGCUCUCUUUCACCCCUAAAAUUGCCAUCUUUUCUACCGGAGAAAAUUGUUGCUUCCACCGAAUUCAAACACCCAAGAUAGCCGGUGAACUUAGUGUGUCACUGUGGAUGAUUUAAGCUUGAAAACUUGUGUUGAAACAUCGAGGUUUGAAGUAUCGCUACACCAGUGUGUAAUCCGUUCUAUUCUAGGAGAAAAUAAUCUACAACCUCGGGUGCUAGGAGCGGAUUAAGUUUUUUAAGGAAACAUUGUGAAUUUAAUGGGUUCGGAUUAAAUUCCGUUUCUUCUAUAUUUCUAUUUAUACGUUAUUUUUUUUCGAAAUUAUUUUACUAACAAUGCUAUCUGGGUCUUUCCCACAAUUUGGGUCUUGUUUGAAUCUAGACUUUGUAAAUUGUAAUUUUCAGCCGAACAAUUCUUGAAAGAAGAUUUGGAGGUGAGAAGUAUCACGUGCAGAUAGCAUGUUGUUGUUAGUUUUAUGAUGGAUGUUGUGUUUUCUUUUACUUGGACUAAAAGCGCUAAACCCUUGCA